rnacentral:rRNA from 1 species
UACGUAGGGUGCAAGCGUUAAUCGGAAUUACUGGGCGUAAAGCGUGCGCAGGCGGUUAUGCAAGACAGAUGUGAAAUCCCCGGGCUCAACCUGGGAACUGCAUUUGUGACUGCAUGGCUAGAGUGCGGCAGAGGGGGAUGGAAUUCCGCGUGUAGCAGUGAAAUGCGUAGAUAUGCGGAGGAACACCGAUGGCGAAGGCAAUCCCCUGGGCCUGCACUGACGCUCAUGCACGAAAGCGUGGGGAGCAAACAGGAUUGAGACUACCGAGU